UAAGUGUUUAAGGGCGCAUGGUGGAUGCCUUGGCACUGGGAGCCGAUGAAGGACGUGGGAGGCUGCGUUAUGCCUCGGGGAGCUGUCAACCGAGCGUUGAUCCGAGGAUGUCCGAAUGGGGAAACCCGGCACGAGUGAUGUCGUGUCACCCGUUACUGAAUACAUAGGUAACGGGGGGGAACGCGGGGAAGUGAAACAUCUCAGUACCCGUAGGAAGAGAAAACAAGUGUGAUUCCGUGAGUAGUGGCGAGCGAAAGCGGAGGAUGGCUAAACCGUGUGCAUGUGAUACCCGGCGGGGGUUGUGUGUGCGGUGUUGUGGGGCGUUUCUUCUCUGGUCCGCCGGCCAGGGCGAAAGUGAUAAACCAUUGGGUUAGGUGAAGUGGUCUGGGAUGGCCUGUCGUAGAGGGUGAGAGCCCCGUAACCGAAAACUUGAUGGCUUUCGUGGAACUGUCCCCGAGUAGCAGCGGGCCCGUGGAAUCUGCUGUGAAUCUGCCGGGACCACCCGGUAAGCCUGAAUACUUCCCAGUGACCGAUAGCGGAUUAGUACCGUGAGGGAAUGGUGAAAAGUACCCGGGAGGAGUGAAAGAGUACCUGAAACCGUGUGCCUACAAUCCGUCAGAGCCCUCGCUUUAUGUGUGGGGUGAUGGCGUGCCUUUUGAAGAAUGAGCCUGCGAGUCAGGGACAUGUCGCGAGGUUAACCCGGGUGGGGUAGCCGCAGCGAAAGCGAGUCUGAAUAGGGCGUAUCCAAUUCAUAGGAAUUGGUGUAGUGGUGUGUUCUGGACCCGAAGCGGAGUGAUCUACCCAUGGCCAGGGUGAAGCAGCAGUAAGAUGUUGUGGAGGCCCGAACCCACUUAGGUUGAAGACUGAGGGGAUGAGUUGUGGGUAGGGGUGAAAGGCCAAUCAAACUCCGUGAUAGCUGGUUCUCCCCGAAAUGCAUUUAGGUGCAGCGUUACACGUUUCUUGUUGGAGGUAGAGCUACUGGAUGGCCGAUGGGCCCUACUAGGUUACUGACGUCAGCCAAACUCCGAAUGCCGACAAGUCAAAGAGUGUGGCAGUGAGACGGCGGGGGAUAAGCUCCGUGCGUCGAGAGGGAAACAGCCCAGAUCGCCGGCUAAGGCCCCUAAGCGUGUGCUAAGUGGAAAAGGAUGUGCAGUCGCGAAGACAACCAGGAGGUUGGCUUAGAAGCAGCCACCCUUGAAAGAGUGCGUAAUAGCUCACUGGUCAAGUGAUUGUGCGCCGAUAAUGUAGCGGGGCUCAAGCACACCGCCGAAGCCGCGGCAACGACCACCCCCUUUGGGGGUGACGUUGGGUAGGGGAGCGUCCUGCAUCCGGUGAAGCCACAGAGUGAUCUUGUGGUGGAGGGUGUGGGAGUGAGAAUGCAGGCAUGAGUAGCGAUAAGGCAAGUGAGAACCUUGCCCGCCGAAAGACCAAGGGUUCCUGGGCCAGGCCAGUCCGCCCAGGGUGAGUCGGGACCUAAGGCGAGGCCGACAGGCGUAGUCGAUGGACAACGGGUUGAUAUUCCCGUACCCGUGUAUAAGCGUCCCUGAUGAAUCACCGGUACUAACCACCCAAAUGGCAGACCACCAGAUCCCUUCGGGGUGAUGGGGUGUGCCGGCUGCGUGGAACCUUCGGUGGUAGUAGUCAAGCGAUGGGGUGACGCAGGAAGGCAGCCGUACCAGUCAGUGGUAAUACUGGGGCAAACCCGUAGGGGGACAUCUAGGCAAAUCCGGAUGUCGUAUUCCCUGAGAGGUGAUGCAUAGCCGAGUGAGGCGAAUUCGGUGAUCCUAUGCUGUCGAGAAAAGCCUCUAGCGAGCGUAUACACGGCCCGUACCCCAAACCAACACAGGUGGUCAGGUAGAGAAUACCAAGGCGUACGAGUGAACUAUGGUUAAGGAACUCGGCAAAAUGCCCCCGUAACUUCGGGAGAAGGGGGACCCCCACACCGUCAACCGGCUUGCCCGGGGCAGCGGGAGGGGGUGGCACAAACCAGUGAGAAGCGACUGUUUACUAAAAACACAGGUCCGUGCGAAGUCGCAAGACGAUGUAUACGGACUGACGCCUGCCCGGUGCUGGAAGGUUAAGAGGACCCGUUAACCCCCUCGGGGGUGAAGCGGAGAAUUUAAGCCCCAGUAAACGGCGGUGGUAACUAUAACCAUCCUAAGGUAGCGAAAUUCCUUGUCGGGUAAGUUCCGACCUGCACGAAUGGCGUAACGACUUCUCAGCUGUCUCAACCAUAGACUCGGCGAAAUUGCAUUACGAGUAAAGAUGCUCGUUACGCGCGGCAGGACGAAAAGACCCCGGGACCUUCACUACAACUUGGUAUUGGUGCUCGAUACGGUUUGUGUAGGAUAGGUGGGAGACUGUGAAACACGCACGCCAGUGUGUGUGGAGUCGUUGUUGAAAUACCACUCUGAUCGUAUUGGGCCUCUAACCUCGAACCGUAUAUCCGGUUCAGGGACAGUGCCUGGUGGGUAGUUUAACUGGGGCGGUUGCCUCCUAAAAUGUAACGGAGGCGCCCAAAGGUUCCCUCAACCUGGACGGCAAUCAGGUGUUGAGUGUAAGUGCACAAGGGAGCUUGACUGCGAGACGUACAUGUCAAGCAGGGACGAAAGUCGGGACUAGUGAUCCGGCACCCCCGAGUGGAAGGGGUGUCGCUCAACGGAUAAAAGGUACCCCGGGGAUAACAGGCUGAUCUUCCCCAAGAGUCCAUAUCGACGGGAUGGUUUGGCACCUCGAUGUCGGCUCGUCGCAUCCUGGGGCUGGAGCAGGUCCCAAGGGUUGGGCUGUUCGCCCAUUAAAGCGGCACGCGAGCUGGGUUUAGAACGUCGUGAGACAGUUCGGUCUCUAUCCGCCGCGCGCGUCAGAAGCUUGAGGAAACCUGUCCCUAGUACGAGAGGACCGGGACGGACGAACCUCUGGUCCACCAGUUGUCCCACCAGGGGCACCGCUGGAUAGCCACGUUCGGACAGGAUAACCGCUGAAAGCAUCUAAGCGGGAAACCCCCUCCAAGACCAGGCUUCUCACCCAUCAAGUGGGAUAAGGCCCCCCGCAGACCACGGGAUCAAUAGACCAGACCUACAAGUUCAGCAAUGAAUGCAGGGAACUGGCACUAACCGGCCGAAAACUUA
rnacentral:rRNA from 1 species